rnacentral:rRNA from 1 species
UACGUAGGGUGCUAGCGUUAUCCGGAUUUACUGGGCGUAAAGGGUGCGUAGGUGGUCUUUCAAGUCGGUGGUUAAAGGCUACGGCUCAACCGUAUUAAGCCGCCGAAACUGGAAGACUUGAGUGCAGGAGAGGAAAGUGGAAUUCCAUGUGUAGCGGUGAAAUGCGCAGAGAUAUGGAGGAACACCAGUGGCGAAGGCGGCUUUCUGGACUGUAACUGACACUGAGGCACGAAAGCGUGGGUAGCAAACAGG